CCAACCUAAAUGGGCCCGUCUAAUCUUUGUUUAAAAUUUUCAUAUUAUUUGAAGUUUUCAAAGUAAAAUGAAAACUUCUGCCAAGGAUUCUGAGUUUCUUUCAGAUGAAGAAAUUGCAUUCGUGUGUGGGUUAUUUUAUUUCUCCUUUUUACAAAAACACAAAUUGAAUCCAUAGAUACUUAAUUCAUCAGAAAUAUAUUCUAUUAGUCUUGAAGAUGACUGCAAUCCCCUCGAAUUUUAAUUUCUAACGUUGGACCUAACUCCUACCAUAUCUACCUCUGUGUUGUGUUUCAAUUUCAUUGACUAUUGGGUUUCACAAAAGUCUUCAUAAUCUAUCUCCCUCAGCUUCACUCUCCACUCCCAAAAUCCCUACUAUUGCUUCCAGUUUUAUGUGCUCCUCCUUCCCCUUCCUUCCAAUACCCAUUCUUCUAAUUUUGGAAAUUUACAGAGAUUUGAGAUGAAGAUCGAGGAAUUGGACGACGUGGGUUUUGAGCGAAACGACGAUGCUUGUAAGAGAAAGCAGAUUGCGGGGGUUGACGCCAAGAGAGCGUUGGUGGGAGCGGGUGCUCGGAUCCUCUUUUAUCCGACCCUUUUGUAUAAUGUAUUUCGUAACAAAAUUCAGGCUGAAUUCAGAUGGUGGGACGAAGUUGAUCAGUUUGUUCUGUUGGGUGCGGUUCCGUUCCCUAAGGACGUUCCCCGGUUGAAGCAACUGGGUGUUGGUGGAGUCAUCACUCUCAAUGAACCUUAUGAAACUCUCGUUCCCACGUCCUUGUAUCAUGCCCAUGGGAUUGACCACCUAGUAAUUCCUACAAGAGAUUAUCUCUUUGCUCCUUCGAUUGUCGAUAUUAGGAGAGCUGUUGAUUUCAUUCACAGGAAUUCAUCUUCUGGUAGAACUACUUAUGUUCAUUGUAAAGCUGGCCGAGGAAGAAGUACCACCAUUGUGCUUUGCUAUUUGGUAAGGUUUUGUUUUGUUGAUGCAAGGUUAUUCGUCUAUUUGAAAUUAUAUCUUCUGCAGGUAGAGUGUAAGCACAUGACACCAGCUGCUGCCUUGGAAUACGUACGAUCUAGAAGACCUAGAGUGUUGCUGGCCCCAUCACAGUGGAAGGCAGUUCAGGAAUUCAGCAGGCAAAGACCUACUGCUACCGCAUAUUCUACCUCAGGUGAUGCAGUUCUAAUAACAAAAGCAGAUCUUGAGGGGUAUCAUGGCCCUUCUGAUAAUAAUGAUCGAAAGGAGCUGGUCGUUGUAUCCAGAACAACGAGGACGCGGCCCAUGAUGACUAUAUUGUCAUGCCUCUUUGCAUCUUGGAAAGUUUCUGCUGUUAGUGGACCUGUCACUGGGAGGCGGCCUGAGACACGCGUUUACUAAAUGCCCAAUCCUUUGCCAGAUCCUAUGAAGUUGUUCGUACAGGAAAGUACUAGGAAAUAAAGUUCAGAGCUCUGAUCAUUACCCUGUAUUCAGGCUAAGGCUAAUACUCAUAUUGGUGGGUUUGGGCAACUGUUCCUGCAAUUCAUGUGAAUAGCCUUUUCUCUCUAUGGGUCUCUGGGUAGCACGGCUGGCAGAUGUGGAUGUACAGUUCAAAGAUUUCUAGUCGUUUGCCAAAAAACGACUGGUAAGUAUGAAUUAUGCGACACAGCACUUUUAUCAACUGGUGGUUUGAUCUGCAGUAACUAGUUUACUUACCAACUGUGUAUUCCAAACAGGGCUUACCAUCCACUUCAUGCAAUAACCCAUUAACAAAAAAAGGCUUCUUAGAGUGUUGUUUUUAUACUUGAGCAAUUAUUGCUUUUGUGACUGUUAGUUAUGGACAAGUAUUUGUAUAUCAAAGGUAAGAUAUUGACAAAUUAAUCAAUUAAAAUUCGUGUCA